CGCUGGCGGCGUGCUUAAAACAUGCAAGUCGAACGGAGUUUAUGAGUAGCUUGCUACAAGUAAACUUAGUGGCGGACGGGUGAGUAACACGUGAGCAACCUGCCUAUCGACAGGGGGAUAACACUUAGAAAUAGGUGCUAAUACCGCAUAUGACCACAGACCAGCAUCGGUCAGAGGUGAAAGGAGUUAAAUCUGGUGAUAGAGGGGCUUGCGUAUCAUUAGCUAGUUGGUGAGGGUAACGGCCCACCAAGGCCACGAUGAUUAGCCGAUCUGAGAGGAUGACCGGCCACAUUGGAACUGAGAUACGGUCCAGACUCCUACGGGAGGCAGCAGUUAGGAAUAUUGGGCAAUGGAGGAAACUCUGACCCAGCAACGCCGCGUGAAGGAUGAAGGUUUUCGGAUUGUAAACUUCUGAUCAGUGGAAAGAAAAAAUGACGGUACCACAGGAGCAAGCCCCGGCUAACUACGUGCCAGCCGCGGC
rnacentral:rRNA from 1 species